rnacentral:rRNA from 1 species
ACGUAGGAGGCGAGCGUUAUCCGGAUUUACUGGGCGUAAAGCGCACGCGGGCGGCUUCGUGAGUCGGACGUGAAAGCUCCUGGCUUAACUGGGAGAGGUCGUUCGAUACUGCGGGGCUUGAGGUAGGGAGAGGGGUGUGGAAUUCCCGGUGUAGUGGUGGAAUGCGUAGAGAUCGGGAGGAACACCAGUGGCGAAGGCGGCACCCUGGCCCAGACCUGACGCUGAGGUGCGAAAGCGUGGGGAGCAAACAG